AAGUCGUAACAAGGUUUCCGUAGGUGAACCUGCGGAAGGAUCAUUAACACGUAUCCAACGUUAAACAACCCUGUGAACUUUCAGACGCUCUUGUAGCCAGGCGGAACAGCAAUCCCGGUAAAUCAAUGGCGGAAAAGUUUUGAUUCGGGACCUCAGCUAGGAGCAGUGGCAUGGUUUCCCUAAGCAGUGCAGAAGGAUCCACUGAGUAAGGAUAACGCAUCACGGUUGCUAGAGGUCGAUCACCGGCCGGCAGACAUGUCACAGGGCUAUAUGCCCCUUCGUUCACCCCUUGCCUAAAACUCGCCCACCGGAAACGCUGGGCACAAAAACCGAACAACUGUUAACAAUAUAUCUUGGUUCUC
rnacentral:misc_RNA from 1 species